GAUGAACGCUGGCGGCGUGCCUAAUACAUGCAAGUCGGGCGAACGGACGAGAAGCUUGCUUCUCUGAUGUUAGCGGCGGACGGGUGAGUAACACGUGGAUAACCUACCUAUAAGACUGGGAUAACUUCGGGAAACCGGAGCUAAUACCGGAUGAUAUUUUGAACCGCAUGGUUCAAAAGUGAAAGACGGUCUUGCUGUCACUUAUAGAUGGAUCCGCGCUGCAUUAGCUAGUUGGUAAGGUAACGGCUUACCAAGGCAACGAUGCAUAGCCGACCUGAGAGGGUGAUCGGCCACACUGGAACUGAGACACGGUCCAGACUCCUACGGGAGGCAGCAGUAGGGAAUCUUCCGCAAUGGGCGAAAGCCUGACGGAGCAACGCCGCGUGAGUGAUGAAGGUCUUCGGAUCGUAAAACUCUGUUAUUAGGGAAGAACAUAUGUGUAAGUAACUGUGCACAUCUUGACGGUACCUAAUCAGAAAGCCACGGCUAACUACGUG
rnacentral:rRNA from 1 species